rfam:Schistosoma curassoni strain Dakar, Senegal genome assembly, scaffold: SCTD_contig0003803
GCCGGCGACCAUACCAUGUUGAGAGCACCGGUUCUCGUCCGAUCAUCACAGUUAAGCAACGUUGGGCCCGGUCAUUACUUGCA